UGCGGGGUGGAGCAGCUGGUAGCUCGUUGGGCUCAUAACCCAAAGGUCACGGGUUCGAAUCCCGUCCCCGCUACCA
rnacentral:tRNA from 1 species